UUCAUGUCCUGUUAAUGCAUGUCACUGACUUGACUUCUUUCCAGAGUGCUUUCUCAUACGUGCAGGUUCCCAUGGAUUGUGUUUGGACCUCCUACUGUGGUCCUGCUUGACGCCAACUACUGUUAUAAUCAUUACUGUCAUAUUUCUACAUCAUAAUUACUACUACUACUACUAUCAGUGUUAUUAUUGUUAAUAUUGAUUUUUGUCAUUUUUGAUUAGCAUUCGUCUCAAAACUGUUGAAUUUGUCAAUUUACUAGGGCAUGCUAAGUGGACUGCUUUUUUAGUUUUAUAUUUGUGCCGACUGGAACUUCCAUUUUCUGUUGUUUGAACCUUAGAGUUUCUUCAUUUUAUUGAUAUUCAGGAGCUCUCUAGAGCAGAGUUUAGAAGAUGAAGGUGAAUAGUUGGAAGUGUUUAGUAAGGGGGAGAAUCCUACGUGCUGACGGUCAGGCAGAGAAGCGAAAGGACAUUUUGUGAAUCUUGGGACUAAUGACUGAAUCCUUUUUUUCUUUUUACAAUUGUUGUAAACAUUUGGGAUUUUAUUGUGUUUAGCUGAAAACAUUUUCUGUUGAUAGAGAGAGAUGUGACAUGCACUUUACAUAUGAAAAAAGUCAUGAUCACACAUACAUAACUUAAUUGUGUGGUUAUGGUUAACAGCUCCAAGGAUGGAUGUGGAGCGGGUCACCUGUUAGCUUUGUAUCAUGGAAUGUGAAAAUGCUGAAUGGUCCAGUAAAAAGGAAUGGUAAAUAUUUACACAUCUUAAGAAUUUAAAAGCUGAUAUAGCAUUCCUCCAAGAGAGGCACCUUAGGAAUUCUGACCAACUGCAUUAAAAAAAACACAAUGGCAGGGGAACAGCAAUAAUAAUACAUAAAAAAAAUCUGUUCACUUCUUUGGAUGUUAUAUCUGAUUCACAAAGACGCUGUUUGAAUCAGAUUGUUGUCUCUGGGCAACUUUUCUAUACAUCUGUUUUAGUGAAUCUGUAUGUCUUUAACUGGGAUGAUGUAGAAUUUGUACAGAGACUUGUCUGUAAGUUACCUGAUCUAAAUUCUCGUGAUUUUGGGGGAGACUUUAAUUGUGUUAUGGACCCAAAAAUGGGCCAGUAAAUUUUCAGAACUUAUCAGUCAUAUAGUGUGUGUGGGUCCCUCAUAGUAAAGCAUUCUCUUUUUUUCUAAUGUGCACCAUUCAUAUUCAAGAAUUCAUUACUCUUUUUUUGCUAAAAAACUUCUGAGCUCCCUGGAAAAAGUUGAAUACUCUGCCACUCUACCAAACUCCCAUACUUCUGGAGCUUUCUUUCUUCUCAUAGUUACACCUGUUGUGCAAAAUGGUGCUUUAAUGCUGCAUUACUGACUACCUAAUAGGUCUGAUUCUGCUUAUCUGUCAUUGCUCUGUGAAAUUCUUACAGUAGUACUUAGAGGAGAAAUAAUCAUAUACUCAUCUUAUCUUAACAGAGAAAGAAAGAGGGAAAAAACAGCAGUUAAGUGAUUCAGUAUUUGAUUUGGAUUGCAAAUACUUCAUAUCUUCAAAUUGCUUCACACAUGUACCCUCCCCCCUCUAGACAUAUACACACACCUUCUCACACACACACACAUUCCUGUGGCACAAGGAAUGUGGCCGCCAUCUUGAACCAGUUAUUCUACCGUAAACUACCAAAGCAGGAAGAUGCUUGAGCACUGUGCGGCGUAUUGCUGUACAAAUCGGCAGACUAUUGAAAACGGGGCUCAAGGGAUUACUUUUAACAAGAUCAUAGCUAUGCCUUGCCUGCUACUCCUACUCCUACGGACUCAAUGAAGUCCUAGCAAGAGUGGAAAGUCUGGAACGAGAGAAGAAGAACGCCAUGGCAAGAGAAAAGAGAGCAAGGACCACAAUAAAGAGUCUUUUGGGGGAUUUGAGGGAAAAUUUAAAAAAAUGUAAAAAACUUUCAUGAUUAAAAAAAAAUUAAAAAUUAAAACUUUCAUUAGCGACUUCA